GGUUCAGGACGAACGCUGGCGGCGUGCUUAACACAUGCAAGUCGAACGAUGACGAUGGUGCUUGCACCGUCUGAUUAGUGGCGAACGGGUGAGUAACACGUGAGUAACCUGCCCUCCUCUUCGGGAUAACCGCCGGAAACGGUGGCUAAUACCGGAUAUGAAUGUCUGCCGCAUGGUGGGUGUUGGAAAGAUUUAUCGGUGGGGGAUGGACUCGCGGCCUAUCAGUUUGUUGGUGAGGUAAUGGCUCACCAAGGCGAUGACGGGUAGCCGGCCUGAGAGGGCGACCGGCCACACUGGGACUGAGACACGGCCCAGACUCCUACGGGAGGCAGCAGUGGGGAAUAUUGCACAAUGGGCGAAAGCCUGAUGCCAGCGACGCCGCGUGGGGGAUGACGGCCUUCGGGUUGUAAACCUCUUUCAGCAGGGAAGAAGCGAGAGUGACGGUACCUGCAGAAGAAGCGCCGGCUAACUACGUGCCAGCAGCCGC
rnacentral:rRNA from 1 species